rnacentral:rRNA from 1 species
AGCAGUAGCCGCGGUAAUACGAAGGGGGCUAGCGUUGCUCGGAAUGACUGGGCGUAAAGGGCGCGUAGGCGGAUGGCACAGUCAGAUGUGAAAUUCCCGGGCUUAACCUGGGGGCUGCAUUUGAUACGUGUUGUCUAGAGUGAGGAAGAAGGUCGUGGAGUUCCCAGUGUAGAGGUGAAAUUCGUAGAUAUUGGGAAGAACACCGGUGGCGAAGGCGGCGACCUGGUCCUUUACUGACGCUGAGGCGCGAAAGCGUGGGGGGCAAACAGGAUUAGAUACCCCAGUAGUCCCUGUCUCUUAUAC